UAAAUGCUAGUACAAAAUUCAAUAAGCAGACUCGAGAAUUUUGUACAUCUAAUAGUGGAACAACACGCACUAUUAUGAAACAAAAUAAAUAUAUCUAUAACAUAAAAAAUAUAAAAAUUAUUGUCAAUAAGAUAUCAGAUCUUGCAUAAUUGAUUGAAGGAAUUGGUAAGGCCAACUUUAUCGUUGCCAAAUGGACCAAAAUUUUAAAUAAGCAAGGGCUGUAUUCUCUGAAUUCUAAAAGAAAUGUACUGAGUUUUAUAGACACUAGGUCCUUGUCCGCGCUACGCGCGGAUAGUAUUUUUUUUUUUUUUUAUAUUUUUAUACUAUUAUGUGAAUUGUUUAGUUUUAUAAAAUGUUAUGUUUUUACUGUAAAUUUGGAAUUAAAAAUCUAAUUUUUCUUUACUGUAAAGUAAGUUAAUUUUUUUGAAUCUUACCACAACACAUUAUACAUGAAGAGAAUAUAGUUGGUCUUUAUAUUUUUAUUUGCUGUAAUAUUGAAAAUUUUGAUGAUUUGUUUAAAUGGUUUUUUUUUAAUUAUAUAUUUUAAGAUUGAUUUUUCGUGACUACAUUCUAUAAUUGUCUAAAAAAAUUGUUUGUCUCAUAUAGACAUCCACAUAAAUAUGAACUUCUGAUAAAUUUGUUCAUUGGAAUAUUUAGUUUCACUUUCAACUUUAUUCUCUUUUUUGGCAUCCUCAUGCUAACUUGUGGAGCUAGCCAACUUGGUGCAAAAGGGUUUACAAAAGCUGAUCGAGAUGCGCGUGAUCGGACACCUUUUGCUAGGCUAUUAGUACAGAAUUUUAAAGAUCUAAGAAUAUAAGCAAUAGAAAGUUCAGAAAAUUAUUUAGAUACAGCAUGUAUUUCGUCUAGCUCCGAGUCCAAAGCAGGCCAAUCUUCCUCCUUUUGAAUGAGUAUAACCAGUUGUUCACAGUUGAUUGAAAGACCAUCUCUUUGUGUCCAAACUUCAGUAUCACUUGCAUUGCCCAUAGCAAACCUUCAGCUUCCGCUUGCAGUGGUGAUUUGGUGCGUGUAUAUUGGCCCUUGCUCCAAACCGCAUUGGAAAGUCACCAUCCAUUAACACAAAGCCAAGUUCAUAUAUAUCUCUUUCAUUUUAUCCAGGAUGUCUAGCAAGAGCGUUUCUUUGCGGAGGAAUAGUUGUGUCCGUUACUUCAACUCCCAUAUCAAUCUCCAUAAUCUCGUCUAUACGUUGAGAUAUCCUCCAACAAUCUUCUUCAAUUUUAUUCGCUAAUGAAAAAUACAUAAUUCCUACGACACUAUUAAUUAUUGUUUUUUUUUUGUAACACCGAUACGACAAACUUAUGUUUGAUUUAACAAAACUCUUAUUUUAAUUUU
rnacentral:lncRNA from 1 species